GUGAGGACAGAGAUAAGAUGUUUUCCACCCUUUUACUCUGAGAUGACUUUUGACUUGCUUUGGGAAAUAGCCUGCUGUGCAUGGGAUAGGUUCUAAACCCAAGCGUAGGCCUUAUAAGAACUUGCACACUUACACUGACCCUUUUGGAGCCUGGCCACCCCCAAGAAAACAAGCCUACACUAGGAAGAUGGAAGACUAUGUUCAUUAGAGACAACUCAUUUCAGCUGAGUUUAACUUCAACUGGCAGCUUUCAGCCUACAAAACACAGAUCAGUGGUUCUCAAGUGAGGCUAUUUGUGGUUCUCCCAGCAGUCAAAACAGACUGAGGAUUGCUACUAGCAUCAACUGGGACACUAAGUUCUAAAAUCUGAAGGAGGUCUCAGUUGUGGCCCCAGUUACAACGGUGGAAAAAAGGAGCUGUGCUUCAUUCCAGUAAACUUCUCAGAAAGAGAGGCCCCAGAAAACCAUGCAAGAGCUUAGAAAAGUGCAUGUAUAGUUGUAAUGGGUAAACUGCCUCAGCCAUUAAGGUGCUCUGCUCAGAUCUCUUUCACAGGCUUUCACAGGGAGCAUAGCUGACUUUCAUCCUCCAGCUGUCACUCCACUGGUUCUAUCACAUUCAGACCAAAGCAUGUUUCUCUUGGGCUCCACAGCCCUGCUCCUUCAAGGCUGCCCCAGCCAAAGAUUAAGCCUGAUAUGGAGUACUAGAUCCAUUUGAUUUCUCUCCACUUCAGGACUGACCAAUGGGCAGCUCAUUGGCCAGGUCAAAUUUUUCUCAGAACUGGGAUGUAGACUGAUACACUUCCUACCCAGUCCUUUUUUUAACACUUGUUAAACUUGCAUCAUGAUCUGAAGGCUCUCGAUUCCUACUCCUGCUCCCAUGGUUGGCUACCUGCUUUCAUCUUGGAGUGAGCAAAGACACUUUCAUUUAGUUUUUGGAUACGUUGUACAAGAGAUUUUGUAUUCCCUAUUUAGUUGGUCUAAUGGGGAUUUGGAAAGACCGCCGCUGUCACCAUAUUCCCCAAACUCCAACCAUUAAACGUUUCCAGGUAAAGAUCUAAUAUUUUUUAUCAGAUAUAUUAUCCAUAUAAUAUCCAUGUUCCAAACAAAUACUGAGGUAUAUAACUUCUUACUUCUUCAGUAAUUUUAGAACACAUAUUGGAAAUGUGGAUUCUAGAAAGUUACUUCUAAGCACAACUAUAAGCAAAGAACAGAGAAACUGAGUUCAGGAAAGUUGAUAGUAUAAUUGCAACAAUAUCAAUAAUUUUACCAUAUUUAAUGGGCUGAAUUUAUAUUUAAAGCAAUUUUUAGACAGUUUCCACUGAGCUGACAAUAAAAUUAUAAAUAAGAGUAGAGGAGUCAUAAUAUAUUUAUCUUUUAUUCUAGGAAUAAAAGCUUACUGUAGUGUUAAUCUAUGAGUUAUUAGUUGUUAACAUUAUCACCUCCACAAGUAAGGGAACUUUUCUUGUAUCCAGCAAACUGACAAUUCUUAAAGUGAGGAUAUGUACUAAGAAUUUAGUACAAAGACUAUCAGUAUCCACGAGCAACUGAAAUGUGACAUCCUUUAUUUUAGCAAGUUAUACUUAAGAUAUUCAUUUGGUAUGUAUAUUUUGUAGACAGAAAGAGAAUAGUUAUAUUCAAUUGGAAAUUCUAUACCAUGGCACACAAUUCUGACAUAAAAGGAAAUGGCAUUGUAAAAAUUGAAGUCAUUUUGACUGAGAGAAGUAAAACAGAGGAAAUUUCUAAGUAACAGAAAGCAGUUAAAGCUGCCCUUAGAGAACUAUAACUUACUGACACUUAAAAGAGAGAUAAUAAUUUGUGUAGACACUGAAUUUGGCAGAGCUAUGGGGAUAAUAUAUCUUUUUCAGUAUCAAAUAUUAUUUCAUUUUUGAUGCUAAGUCUUUCCUGCAAUAUUAACUUUUUAUACUAUUUUUUUUCCUCAAUGACCUUGACCAACAUGUGGGAAAUAAUCGGCCCCAUCUUUUUAGGUCUUGAAGGGUUUGGUAAUUUAUCUUAAAGAGAUGUCAUUGUAGCAAAUGUCCUCAUUGUUGCUUGAAAGCUGUAUCCUCCUUAAAAAAACAAAAACAAAAGUGAAUGGUACAUUAGGCAGAUGUGAAAUCAUCCAAAACUAUGAACUAUUUUAGUAUGCAGAAUAUUUUAGAUUGCAACAAAAUAAGCUAGUUUCUGUUUACAUCCAGUGGGAUUUUGUGAGAUGAAAUUUUUGUGAGAUCCAAUUCAUCGUGGUUUAUGAGGCAAAGGCAGAGUAGCCUGAGACCUAAUCUUGAUUUCUCCACAUUUAACACAUUUAUUUUUAGAAUUACAUGUAAAUGUUAUCCCCCAAAUUUCAAGCUGUUAAACACAUUUGUCAUGUGGCCUGUCACUAAUUACAUUCGUAUUUGAUUACCAAAUUGCUCAUAUCAUAGUCUUUAGAUAAUGUGUGUGUGUUUUUUUUGUUUGCAGUAGCUUUUGGGAAUCCUUGCUUUCUCCAGUAUACUAGGUGCACUGUUGACCGCUUAAUUUUGAAAUGAAACACAUGAAGAUACCACUGUUUUGUCUUGUUUGUAUGGUUUCAGAUGAAAAGAUUGCUGUAAUUCUUAAUACUUGUCCUUCUGUAAAUAGUAUUUUGUUGUUGUUGUUCUGGCAGCUGUUAACAUUUUCUCUUUGUCCUUGGUUGCCAUUAGUCUUCAAUGGUUUAAAUAUAAUAUGCAUAAUUUUGUUGUUUCUUGGAUUUGUGGUUUAAGGUCUAAUUUUGGAAAUUCUUCAGUAUUUUUUUCUUCUAUACUCUUUCCUGUUAAUCUACUUUUAAGAUUCUGAUUACACAUAGGUUGAACUCUGAUACUGUCACAGUGAAAAUAACUGCUAGAGGGAGGGAGAUUAUCUCUGACCAAAUGUUAACAACAACAAAAAAAUCUAUGCGUGAUUAGGAGUGAAUUACAAUACAAGCUUUUUGAUAUUACAGGUAACAGAGAAGUUAUCCUUGUCAUUUUGUAUCAUUGGGAAUGCAUUUGCUAAGAAUUUCUCACCAGAAAUAUAAUGGAAGUCCAGAGAUAGAGCUCCACACCAAUUCAGAACAUCAGAGCUGCUAUUUGGAACUCACAUUUCAGACUCCUUGAAUGUUAGCUUGAUUUCUAGGCUUAUUAUUUCAAAUCGUGGGCAUCUCCCAUUUAACUGAAGGGAUAGUUUUAUUUUCAUCAUUUUCUUUUUAAUUUAAAGGAUAGGGCCUUUUCCGUAAAUUAUCCCCUCAGCAAACUUUUUCUUUGUAACAUUAAUCAAUCAAGAUUGACUAAAGUAUCUAUCUGCUCACUUGGAGAGGGGGAAAGCUAAUGUCUGACAUUAAUAGCUUUUAUAGUAAAAAUCAGGCAGGAAAAUAUGUAGAUUAAAAGUUUGCACCCAAAAAACAAAUAAUCCAAUCAAGAAAUGGGCAGAAGACAUGAACAGACAUUUCUCCAACGAAGACCUCCAAAUGGCCAACAGACACAUGAAAAAAUGCUCAACAUCACUUGGCAUCAGGGAAAUACAAAUCAAAACCACAAUGAGAUACCACCUCACACCAGUCAGAAUGGCUAAAAUUAACAAGUCAGGAAACGACAGAUGUUGGCGAGGAUGAGGAGAAAGGGGAACCCUCCUACACUGUUGGUGGGAAUGUAAGUUGGUAUAGCCACUCUGGAAAACAGUAUGGAGGUUCUUCAAAAAGUUGAAAAUAGAGCUACCCUAUGACCCAGCAAUUGCACUACUGGGUAUUUACCCCAAAGAUACAAAUGCAGUGAUCCGAAGGGGUAUGUGCACCCCGAUGUUUAUAGCAGCAAUGUCCACAAUAGCCAAACCAUGGAAAGAGCCUAGAUGUCCAUCGACAGAUGAAUGGAUAAAGAAGAUGUAGUAUAUAUACACAAUGAAAUAUUAUACAGCCAUCAAAAAUAUGAAAUCUUGCCAUUUACAAUGACAUGGAUGAGACUGGAGGGUAUUAUGCUGAGCGAAAUAAGUCAAUCAGAGAAUGCUAUGUAUCAUAUGAUCUCACUGAUAUGAGGAUUUUGAGAAACAAGGCAGAGGAUCAUAGGGGAAGGGAGGGAAAAAUGAAACAAGAUGAAACCAGAGAGGGAGACAAACCAUAAGAGACUCUUAAUCUCAGGAAACAAACUGAGGGUUGCUGGAGUGGAGGCGGAUGGGAGAGAUAGGGUGGCUGGGUGAUGGACAUUGGGGAGGGUAUAUACUAUGGUGAGCACUGUGAAUUGUGUAAGACUGAUGAAUCACAGACCUGUACCCCUGAAACAAAUAAUACGUGAUAUGUUAAUAAAAAAGUUUAAAAAAUGGAGUAACAACAACAAAAAGUUUUCAAUUAUGUAAGUAUUGGUACUACUAAACACUUUUCCCCAAAAUCACUUGCAAUGGAAGAGAUGGAUAAAAUAUAUAGUACUUAACCUCUCAAGUCACAAUUUCAAGUUAAAAUUGCACAUCCAUGUAAUCCAAGACAUUUGUCCUUAUCACCUCAGUGACAUCAUCCUGGUUCAUGCCAUGGAGAUAUCUCAAUAACUGUGCUCUCAAGUUCAAACCAUAAUACCCAUACUCGAUUCUUGUCUUAUGGUAUUUUACCAGGUAUGUGGUAUAGGGACUAGGAUUAUAUUUUAUGUCUGUCCUUCCCUUGAUAAAAUGCAAGCUGAAUUAGGGUAGGGAUAUUUGGAAUUAUUUUUCAUUGUGUAUUCUAAUGAUAGGAAUAAUCACUGGAACCUAAUAGGUAAUCAUAAAUGUUAAAUAAAUUGAUGAAUGUUUUACAGAAAAACUGUAUUUUGAUAGGAUUUCUAAUCUUCAGUAUACAUUUUUGGAAAAGAUAUGUGAGGACAACUAUGAAAAAAUGCUACCUAAGGAUAAAAAGGAAAAUGAAUGAAAUGUCAGAUAAAUACCUUUUGGAAAUGAAACCUAAGAAACAGAUAUUUGCUUUCAUUUGUUGUAUAAUGGAAAAAUGUAAAAAGAAAAUAAAUUUUUAAAAAUGGAAUGAAAUAAAAAGGAUCUUGGCAAGCUAAGUACACUAAGAAUGAGAAAAAAAUCACUGCUGAACAAAUAACUAAUUUAGUAACUAAGAAACAGACACAGAUAGAAAAUAAUUUGGUAACACAGAACGAAAUAAUUAUAGUUAAUGCAAAGGAAAAAGAUGGGAUAAAAAUGAUCAAAACAAAACAAUAAUAGCAAUUUAAUAUGAGUUGCUAACCAUUUAAAGAACAAUAAAAAAUAAUUUUGCAAUAGCAAAUCUAACCACUUACAGAACAAUAAAAAAAUUAGCAAAAUUUCAGAAAACUGAAAUUUUAAUUCAAAGGGACAAAAGUGUUUCAGUAAAAUUGUCAUAAAAUAACUAACACUGACAAAACCAUUUGGCAUGUUUAGGUUUUAAAUAUAUAUAUAUGUUUAGGCAUUCUGUCAAAAAAAAAUCCCCUAACAACCAUAAAAGGAAGACUUCCUUUAGAUUUUGUCACAGAACCAUGCAAGUUCAAAGUAGAGAAAUAUCUCUAAAUUUCCAGUGAAAAUAAAUGGAGUGAUAACUGUGAAAUCGUGGGGUAAAAACACUCCAAAAAAUCAAUAAAAGCAGCCAAAAACUCAGAAUCAAAUUUCUCAGAACUCUGAAGACUUCAGCAAUGAGGUAACGUUUCAUCAAGAAAAAUGGCUGAAUCUCAGCAUCAACAACAUGCUUUGUGGUGUUUAAUCCACCACUCUACAGUUCAGCAGUAGACUUGAAAAGAUAAUAGGCCAUAUUACUGGUUUCAGAGGAAGCAAAACAGCACCAUAGCUGUUUCCAAACUUGAUUUCCAAAGAAUAGUAAUUACUUGACCUGCGUAGUGGUUCUCUGGAAAACUCUACUCAAAUAGCUUAUUUUAAUUUCACCUCACUUGAACUUGCUGAGUGCCUUUAAAAGCUUCUCCCCAAGAGGUAUUUGUCAAAUAUUUUAACAUCCUGAUUGCCUAAAGUGAUUUAUAAGAGUUGGGGCAGACAGCAGAUUAACCAAAAUCUUAAAAGGGAAAGGUGAAGAAUGAGAUGUCUAUAGGGGCUUUAAAAAUCUCUGAUAUAUUCCUGGGAAGCAUCAUUCAUUCAUAGCGUUGUUCUCAUGUACAGGAAAAAUACAUGAGAAGCUCUUCAGGUCUCACCUCUGAUAUUCCCUGAGGCUCUGCAUAGCUAAAUCUGGGUUUAAAGUUCCUGGUUGGGUGUGGUCACGCAGAGCCCCUCAGCAAAGAGUGGAAGACUUAUUUGUUCUAGGAAUUUAAAAAAAAAAUCCCUAUUUAGUUAUUAUCUGAUCACUAAGCAAACUAAGUAGAGACUUUAAUGGCCACACAUUAUAAAGAAACACUUUAAAAUUUGUUCAGAAAUGUCAUUAACCAAAUAAUAAAAGCAAACAACACUAGUAACAAACCCUGGGUAGGAGGAGUAUCUGAUUUCCAGAUUGUACCUUACGGUAUUUGAAAUGUACAUUUUUCAUCAAAACAUCAUGAUAUAUACAGCUAUUUUAAAUGUGUUCAAAGAGCUAAAGGAGACCAUGUCUAAAUAACUAAAGGAACAUAUGGGAAUAUUCUCUCAACAAAUACAGAAUAUCAAUAAGGAGAGAGAAAUUAUAACAAUGGAUCAAAUAGAUAUCCUGUAGUUGAAAACUAAAAUAACCGAAAUAAAAAAUUCAGUAGAAAAGAUCCACAGCAGAUCUGUGCAAGUAGAAGAAUCAGCAAACAUGACAAAAGAUAAAUUCAGACUGUGCAGUCUGAGGAACAGGCAAAGAAAAAUGAAAACAGUAAAUAGAGUCUCAGAUACCUAUGGGAUACCAUCAAAUGUAGCAAACACAAGUGUACCCAUUAAAAGGACUAACGGCAGAAAGAGAUAUAUAUUUUUUAAAGAUUUUAUUUAUUUAUUUGACAGAGUGAGCACAAGCGGGGGGGGCAGGCAGAGGGAGAGGGAGAAGCAGGCUCCCCACUGAGCAGGGAGCCAGAUGCGGGGCUCAAUCCCAGGACCCUGGUAUCAUGAGCCAAGCCGAAGGCAGAUGCUUAACCAACUGAACCACCCCAGAAAGAGAUAUUUCAACAGUAUUUGGACACUUCAAUACCCAACUUUCAAUAAUGUAUAAUACAAAUAGGUAGACAAUAUCAAGGAAAUAGGAGAUUUGAACAAGCCAACUAGAACUAAUAGACACUCUACCCAACAAGAGAACACACAUUCUUCUCAAAUGCUCAAAGAACAUUUUAUAGGAUAGACCAUAUGUUUGUUCAUAAAACAAGCCUCAAAAAAAUUUAAAGGAUGGAAAUCAUAUAAAGUGUGUUCUCCAAACACAUUAAAGGAAAUUAGAAAUCAAUAACAAGGAAAUUUAGGAAAUUCAAAAAUAUUUGUUAUUAACAAAUUAACCAAGGAGUCAAAUAAUAAACCACAGUGGAAUUACAAAAUACUUUGUAAUAUCAACAUUUAAUGCAUGCAAUAAAGUUAGUGCUUAGAUGGACAUUUAUAGCUGUAAAUGCCUCCAAUAAAAAAGAUCCCAAAUCAGUAACCUAAUCUCCAACUUUAAUAAAGUAGUAAAAGAACUGCAAACAAAGUCCAAAGCAAGCAAAAGAAGCAGUAAAUAUUAGAGAAAAAAAAAAAGAUAAAAUACAGAAAAAAAUAAAACAAAAAACUGAUUCUUUGAAAAGAUCCAUACAGUUGAUGACUCUAGCUACACCAACCAAGAAAAAAAGAGAAAAAAUUUAGUUGUUUAAAUCAGGGACUAAAAAUGGAUCGUAACUACAGACUUUACAGAAAUAUAAGUGGAUGUUAAGGAAAAGCUUUAAACAAAUAUAUGCCAAACAGUUAAACAACAGUGAGUACAUUUCUAGGAAGACACACAUUACCAAAUCUUAAGAUGAAAAAUAAAAUCUGAAUAGAUGUAUAACAAGUAAACAGAUUGAAUUAAUAAUAAUAAUAAUAAUAAUAAUAAUAAUAAUAAUAAUAAUAAACUUCACAUGAAGAAUCACUCAGGACCAGAUGACCUCACUGGUGAAGUCAACCAAACAUUUAGAAGAGUGACACUAAUACUUCCUAAACACUUAUUUUUUUUAAAAAGCAGACAUAUAGGAACACUUCUUAGAUAUUACUGAUUUGGGAUCUUUUUUAUUGGCAACAUUACAGCUAUAAAUGUCCAUCUGAGCAUCAAUUUUAUUGCAUAAGUAUUGAUAUUAUAUAUAUAUUAUAUUGAUAUAAGUAUUGAUAUAUAUAUAUAAGUAUUGAUAUAUAUAUAUAUUAUAUAUAUAUU